UGCUAGUCGCACGAGUUCUACUCGUGGCAUAUAGCUCAGUAACACGUGGCCAAACUACCCUAUGGACAACAAUAACCUCGGGAAACUGAGGCUAAUAGUUGAUACUGCUCCCAUGCUGGAACAGCAGGGAGCUGGAAACGCUCCGGCGCCAUAGGAUGUGGCUGCGGCCGAUUAGGUAGACGGUGGGGUAACGGCCCACCGUGCCUAUAAUCGGUACGGGUCAUGAGAGUGAGAGCCCGGAGACGGUAUCUGAGACAAGAUACCGGGCCCUACGGGGCGCAGCAGGCGCGAAACCUUUACACUGCACGACAGUGCGAUAGGGGGACUCCGAGUGCGAGGGCAUACAGUCCUCGCUUUUCUGUACCGUAAGGUGGUACAGGAACAAGUGCUGGGCAAGACCGGUGCCAGCCGCCGCGGUAAUACCGGCAGCACGAGUGAUGGCCGAUCUUAUUGGGCCUAAAGCGUCCGUAGCCGGCCAGACAAGUCCGUUGGGAAAUCGACGUGCCUAACACGUCGGCGUCCAGCGGAAACUGUCUGGCUUGGGGCCGGAAGACUCGAGGGGUACGUCUGGGGUAGGAGUGAAAUCCCGUAAUCCUGGACGGACCGCCGGUGGCGAAAGCGCCUCGAGAGGACGGACCCGACGGUGAGGGACGAAAGCUAGGGUCUCGAACCGGAUUAGAUACCCGGGUAGUCCUAGCCGUAAACAAUGCUCGUAG
rnacentral:rRNA from 1 species